UCCCCAAAACGAUGAUCAUCUCGAUAUUUUUAUCGUGUCAAGCCACCAUCUUUCCAACAUUCUCACCAUGCCGCCCGUCAUUCGUAGCGAUCUCUUUCUCCUUUUCGUGGACAUAGCAUCAAGAAGGGGAAGAUGCCGCAUCCACCUUCCAGUUCUCGAUCCUCAAGUUCUUUAGGGAACUUUACCCCUGUAUUUUUCUAGCAAUGGUGGCU
rnacentral:lncRNA from 1 species